GACUCUCGGCAACGGAUAUCUCGGCUCUCGCAUCGAUGAAGAACGUAGCGAAAUGCGAUACUUGGUGUGAAUUGCAGAAUCCCGUGAACCAUCGAGUUUUUGAACGCAAGUUGCGCCUCAAGCCUUCGGGCCGAGGGCACGCUUGCCUGGGCGUCACGCACCGAGUCACCC
rnacentral:rRNA from 1 species